rfam:Rattus norvegicus chromosome 17, whole genome shotgun sequence.
ACAAAGGCUCUUUUCAGAGCCAACCACUCAUUUCACUUAAGGAGCU